rnacentral:rRNA from 1 species
GACGAACGCUGGCGGCGUGCCUAAUACAUGCAAGUCGAACGAGAGCAACCGGUGCUUGCACUGGUCAAUCUAGUGGCGAACGGGUGAGUAACACGUGGGUAACCUGCCCAUCAGAGGGGGAUAACAUCCGGAAACGGAUGCUAAAACCGCAUAGGUCUUCGAACCGCAUGGUUUGAAGAGGAAAAGAGGCGCAAGCUUCUGCUGAUGGAUGGACCCGCGGUGCAUUAGCUAGUUGGUGAGGUAACGGCUCACCAAGGCCGUGAUGCAUAGCCGACCUGAGAGGGUGAUCGGCCACAUUGGGACUGAGACACGGCCCAAACUCCUACGGGAGGCAGCAGUAGGGAAUCUUCCACAAUGGACGCAAGUCUGACGGAGCAACGCCGCGUGAGUGAAGAAGGUUUUCGGAUCGUAAAACUCUGUUGUUAGAGAAGAACAAGUGCUAGAGUAACUGUUAGCGCCUUGACGGUAUCUAACCAGAAAGCCACGGCUAACUACGUG